UACGAAGGGGGCAAGCGUUGUUCGGAUUUACUGGGCGUAAAGCGUACGUAGGCGGAUAUUUAAGUCAGGGGUGAAAUCCCGAGGCUCAACCUCGGAACUGCCUCUGAUACUGGGUAUCUUGAGUCCGGGAGAGGUGAGUGGAACUCCUAGUGUAGAGGUGAAAUUCGUAGAUAUUAGGAAGAACACCAGUGGCGAAGGCGGCUCACUGGCCCGGAACUGACGCUGAGGUACGAAAGCGUGGGGAGCAAACAGG
rnacentral:rRNA from 1 species